AAGUCCUCCAGGCAGCUGCCCGGCGACACCAGUGACUGGCCACCGCCUUCGUCCCCAGCUGCAGUGUGCUGUGCAGAGAGCCAGAGACAGCAGGUCAGGUUCUACUCUGUGUCGGGCGCACGGAGGAUGGAGAGGUGGCUAGCCCAGGAGCUUAUCCUUCACCAUAGAGAGGGGUCGACAUGUACCCACACUGAAGAACACGAUCAGCCAAGGGACAGUGACUGGCCAAGAGGCACUGCAGCAGGAACUCCCCCGAGGACCAGCAAGUCCUGUUCUCUGCAGUGUCCCAUCUCUGCUAGCUGCUGCCCCGUCCCGCCUAGUGGGCUCUGCUCAUGGAGAUGGUAAUGUGUGCUUGGAAUGUGUGGCCUCACCUGGGGCUCCCUGCUCCCCUUUCCGUCCUGGGACUCCUGUGGGGCCUGGAAGGGUGUUGGCCUCUCCUGGGUCACCCCUGUCCCCAGUAGGUCCUGGGAAUCCUGGUUCUCCGUGGAUGUCAGCACCUGCGGUAGAAUUAAGACAGCAGCCAAUGGCCACGUUGUUCAGCAGUGCACAGAAUCUGAGAUCUGGAAGGGAUCUCCAAGAGGACACUGGAGCCCCUCACCCUAUAGAUACGAAGACUGAGGCCCUCAGGGCCUGAAUUCAUUGACACAGUCAGCAGAGGAGCUGGGAUCUCACACCAGGCCUCCUGGCUGGAGGCUGUUCUCCAUGCUAUACCUUUGCUGGUUUUGAAAAUUAAAUAGUGCUCAAAAAUCUUCCCUGUCCACAUAUUGGUGCUUAAAGCAAUGAGGGGCAGGAAACAGCAGUACCACUUGACAAGUUUCCCUUCAUCUGCCCGUUGGAAUUGAAAUGGGCUACGUGGAGCCUAGGGUGUGCAUCUCAUGUACAUUUGCAAAUUCACCUGUGGACCAACUGGUUCCACAAAACCUCUGUAGACAGCAGUCUUUACUCCUCAUAGCAGCUGUGGAAUUAGAGGUGAUUUUUUUUUCUUAUUUUUCAAAAUAUUUUCCUCACUGAACUGGGAUAAGUUUUCUAAAUUGAAGUCACUAAAUGGGCAUGUGUGUUACAAAGUCCCUCCAAUGCUGUGGGCUGUGCUGGGUACAGUGCCACAUACCUGGGGACCCUGGGAAGCCUUUGGUGCCCGGCAGGCCGUGUAAUCCGCUGAUCCCUCGAAUUCCCGGGAAGCCUGUGAGAAGUUGACACAGCGUUAUUCAUGCAAAGGAGGCUGCCAAGUGGUCUCUGGUGGCAGGAGCCCCUUGACAACUCCAGCACGUUCAUCUGCUAUAUUGCUGUCUGUCCCCACACAGGGCUGCCCAUCCCUGACGAGCAGGGGGCAGUCAGCUGCAGGUGGCUUUCACCCGACAUGUACACGCACCACUCCUGCUGCCCAGGAAGCCCACUGUACUGUCUCUACAGACUGUUUCGGGAGUCCUCAGAGCUGAGAGGGGAAGCGUGGUGUCCUUUCCCUUCCUGAUGUCUCAUCUCUGGCGCAUUAGGUCAGUAAGACACGUGUGCAGAACCUGUCUGCCUUGCUGAGGACAAACACUUCUGGAGGAGGACGCAGCUCACAGGCAGCCACAGCUGCAUGCUGUGCAGGGACCUGUGGCCCAUGGUGCACCUUGGGACUGGCUGGGUCAUUUGUAAUUCCCAGUUAGCACAGAGCCAGGAAGCUAAGCCAAGGCCUUGUAACCCCAAGCGCCAGCUGGCCCCCGUGGGAAAUGGGGAAGCCUGUGGCAGAACUUGGGGGCCUCUUGCGCCCAAGCCUCUGGUGCCUCUGUGCAGCUGUCACGGGCCUGGGCCUCUCUGGAGGCUUCCGUCUGUGUCUCUGGGAAGUGAAGCCCCUCUUUGCAGCAUGUCUCUUUACCCACCGUCUGCUGUGCUCACAGCCUCCUGCAGAGGCUGGCCUGGCUGAUGGCACUUCUCGCAGCCUGGCUACUUGGCUGAGUGCUGUGGGCAUGCGCACUUCUGUCAAGGAAGGAAUCGACUCACCUGGUAAGCCCGGCACGCCAGGCCAGCCAGAAUCGCCUUUAUCGCCGGGGACUCCGAUCCGCCCUGGAUCUCCCUGUGGCCCCCGCAGCCCUGUUAGCCCUGGGAAGCCUGGGGGGUGGGGAACAAUCAUUGAGUUUGAGCACACAGGAACCCCGGAAACCUGUGUGGUCCUGCCUGGAGGGGUGAGGGCUCCCAGGGAAAGGCUGAGGACCUGUGGGGGCUGCAGCUCAAGCUACAUGAGAGAGUCUAGGGACUGUCCUCCCAUUGGGAAUGAUGUAGCAUCAGACCUGGACCCUAAGUUCAGCAGGAUGAGGUCAGCCUGGCCAAAGAGAAAAUGGGGUGCAUUUUUAAUUCUCCUCCUAUCAUGCGGACAGAAGUCUGUGGGGAAUCCUGGAGGCAGUGCCCGCAGAGCGCACGGAGGCUGGGGAAGCGCCAAGCGAAGGCAGCAGCCUCCGCAGCUCUGAUGCCAGCUCUCCCUUGCAUUCCCUCACUAACGGGACCCUCAGGUGUGUGGCUGCACAUUCAAAUGCAUGAAAAGGAUCCUUUCAAAUAGAUCGGGCCGUUUGUACACAAGGGACAGAGGCUGGCUCAGAAACCCUUGUCAUUCGUCCUGUGUGGCUGCCUGUCAUGGAGGGGCUCCCCACAGCCCCGGUGGUCGAUUCUCUCCAAGCUGUGGGUCCCCAGGCAGAGCUGGGUGAAUGCACAAGAACAAGUUUCCUGGCGACGAGUGAGAUUGUGGUGGAGAAGGAAAUGGCAAGGUGGCUGCUUUGUCCUGGGUCUUAGAGGUCACCUGCCUGGGGACUGUGACUGAAGGGGAUUUUACCUGUUUGUCCUUUGGGUCCAGGAGGGCCUUGGGUUCCAGUCAUGCCUGCUAUCCCAGGGAAGCCAACUUCACCCUCUGCUCCCUUCUCUCCAAAGAACCCCUUCAGACCUGGAAACACAGAUUUGCUGCUUGCAACACGCCUCGACUGUUGAGUGAAUACAGGGCUCAGAGCUUGCUGGCUUGGCUAAACCAUGCUCUCGCCUCACACCGAUUCUCCUGUUUGGACGUGCAGGUAGAUAUAUGAGCCUGUUCCUGCCUCGACUUUUUCCUGAUUCUUCCCUCUGAGAACGAGGCCGCCGUCCUCCAAGGUUGCACCCACCGGACCCUUCUGCUACCCAACACUGAAUCGGGUCAAACUGUGCCCACUGGGCUACCAGGGAAGCGAGGACCUCAAGCCUCGCACAUGAGCUCCUCGUUGCCUUCACUUGGUCCUCGCAGGGAUCCUUAGACCUGGAGGAAGUCGGCUGCGUGCUGUGGGCACUCAGGCAGCUCACAGCCUCUGGCAGGGAACACAGGCCUCCUGCCAAGGGCUCAUGAGGGCACCAGUUUGGAGAGGGAUCUUCUGAUGGUUGUGUCCCUGGCCAACGUCAUAAUCAGCAGCUCAGGAGUGACUACAAGUCAGAACCACCCUGUUCCCCCCUUCCUGACCUGAAGAACUGGCAGAGAAAAUUACUGGUGUCUGAAGCUACUGCAUUUGGGGUACUCUGCUGAGCAGCAGCAGGUAUCCAACAGAGAGCUCUUAGGUGGUUCUGAAAUCUCCUGGGGAACGUGCUCCACAGGCGGGUGGAGGUGCACCAGGGGGAAGAGCGGGUCUGGGGGCCUGGAGUCUGUCUGUCAAGCAGCAGCUGGGGUGCUUCUGAGGUGGUCACUGGGAGACGGGGACACACCCUCCCAUGCGGGUGAUGGUGAGUGUUGUACAGCUUGCCGGCUUCCAGGUAAUGUGCAAGUCAGACCAACCUGAAGUCCACAGUCACCUGUGUUCUGUGCCUUCUUUAGUCUAUGAGGCUGUUAGAACAUUGUGAUGCUUUUGUGGUUGUGGAAAAGAACCAUGUAAGAAUUCUGCUUAUUCUCUA